rnacentral:rRNA from 1 species
CUGACCUACGGGGGGCAGCAGUAGGGAAUCUUCCACAAUGGACGAAAGUCUGGUGGAGCAACGCCGCGUGAGUGAAGAAGGGUUUCGGCUCGUAAAGCUCUGUUGGUAGUGAAGAAAGAUAGAGGUAGUAACUGGCCUUUAUUUGACGGUAAUUACUUAGAAAGUCACGGCUAACUACGUGCCAGCAGCCGCGGUAAUACGCAGGUGGCAAGCGUUGUCCGGAUUUUUUGGGCGUAAAGCG